rnacentral:rRNA from 1 species
GACGUAGGGUGCGAGCGUUGUCCGGAUUUAUUGGGCGUAAAGAGCUCGUAGGCGGCUCGUCGCGUCGACCGUGAAAACCCGCAGCUUAACUGCGGGCUUGCGGUUGAUACGGGCGGGCUAGAGUUCGGUAGGGGAGACUGGAAUUCCUGGUGUAGCGGUGAAAUGCGCAGAUAUCAGGAAGAACACCCGUGGCGAAGGCGGCUCUCUGGGACGGUACUGACGCUGAGACGCGAAAGCGUGGGGAGCGAACAGG